GAAAUGCGAUAAGUAGUGUGAAUUGCAGAAUUCAGUGAAUCAUCGAAUCUUUGAACGCACAUUGCGCCUCCUGGCAUUCCGGGAGGCAUGCCUGUUCGAGCGUCAUCAAAAACCAUCGCGCAAAUGAAUUUUUGCUCGGACGUUGACGAUUGAGCGAAAGUCUUUUCUUUUCGCACCUCGUCGAAAUGAUCGCGGGCGGAAUUUGGGAAUCGGGUUCCUCGGCGUAGUGUACCAAUGCAUAUUUAUUAUGUAACUUGCCGCGGAGUUGAGCCUGACCCACGCAUUCUCGCCGUACAAAUCCCAUCGCAUACAAGUUUUUGACCUCGGAUCAGGUAGGGAUACCCGCUGAACUUAA
rnacentral:misc_RNA from 1 species